UUAUCAAUUACUAUAUAGAAAGGGAAAUUCUAACCACUACGGCCAAUAUAGAUAUAACUAAAAUAUCUGCAAAGAAAAAUAAUUAUAGCUAUAUCAAACAUUAAAUAUCACAGAGUUACAUGUAAAGUUUCACGUGUACAGUUCAAGCUAUUAUAAUUAAACCAAACGUAUAGUAACUAAGAAAAAAACUAAACUUUCUAAACGACAUUAUCUUUUAUCAAAAAAAAAAAAAAAAACUUUCUAAACGACAUAUAUUUUAGUAUUUCUGAUAAAGUAUAACAUGAGCUUUUCUUUUAUAAAACAUGAGUUCUAUGCAGGGGCGUCUCUGAGAUGAGGCCUAAAAAUAUUUAAUGAGGGUUUUCUAAAAAAAAUUUUUAAUAAAUUCGAGACUUUUUUCUAUAUAUUUUUUAAAAAAAAAAAUUUAGGGGUCCUAUGCCAAUUUUUCAAUUUGUGCUCAGGAAUACCUCUGGUUCUAUGAUUCGGUUAAGUAAUAUAUAAAAGAUUUAUUUUAUCAAAUUUUUAUAUUUUCCCAUUUUAUGUAGAGGUCCAGACG
rnacentral:lncRNA from 1 species